CUUUGUCUGGAUAAUAUUACAACUUUGCAUGGGAACUGUUUUUGCUGAUACAAUUCAACCAUUGUCUUCAGAAAAGCAUGUUGUUGAGGCUACAAAAGCGA